AUGUCUCUUUUCAUGCAGAGCGAUGCGAGGAAUGGUCUGCAGAAUGAUAUUCCACGACUGCAGUCUAUGCUGGCAAAACUUAAUCUAAUACACAAACAUCCCAAAACAGACAAUGUUAAAUUACAUCCAGGUACAGCCUGUAAAAGUAUGUUUUACCAUUCUCUGGAGCCUGUAGAAGGAAUAAAAAAUGAAGAAAACAGGAAAGAAAGCACAGUCAGAUCUGGUGAUGAGGAGCAACCAACUAGGAGUUCUGAAACAAAAGAUGGAAAUGAAGCUGUUGAAGAGGUCAAAGAGCUUCCAGAAGCAUUUCCUAAAUGGGAGAGGAAGAGUAUACUCCCUGACUGUUUGUCCAUAGAAAUCCAGAUGGGAAAAUUAGGUCGCCAGCCAAGAGAAAGUGAGUCUUUGGAGGACAAAAAGAGCACAGAGAUGGAAGAGCAUGUGGCUGGAGCUGCAUUAUUACCUAACAAUCAAUAUCAAGAAAUGUCUGCACACACAUCUUACCUCUCUGUGUCCUCCGAUAAAGUGGACUCUGCACAGAUGGGGUUGAAGCAUGAACCAGAUGAAGCUUGUGGUCCUUCAAAACAGUAUGUCAGUAUGGAUACAAGCAGGGUUCUAACCCAUCAAACAGCUGUGAAUGUUACAGGCAAGAAAACAAGGUCCACUUCAGAUCCAGUAACCCAGGAAUCCAGUAAAUCCUUUAAUCCAAUAAAGGAAGAGAGACCCCUCUCAGCUCCAAGUAUUUCAAACCUACGGGAAUAUGAAAAGUAUGAAGAUUUUGCAAAUGCAAUGCCAGCCAAAAGCUUCAGCAAAGCUGCUAAGAUUUUGGGACAGGGGUAUUCAGGCAUGAGCAUAGGAAAUGUGGAACAUGACAACUCACUCACCAAAACGCAAAAGAAAGGAGUGAAAAACAAAAUGAAGAAUCUUACUCAAAAACUGAUGGAAAAGCUUAAAGAUAAACAUGAUUGUGAGCACGCUGGCAGGAGGAGCACCCAAGACAGCAUGGAAGAAGAAGAAGGACAAAAAAACAUUUACCCUAAAAGACUUCAAACUCAAUCUUGAACCUAUCAACUUAAUGGAAGAAAUAUUCACAGGCAGCGAAUGGCUCAGUUACUUGCCCAUCAAAGAAAGUCCAGCUGAGAAAGAAACUAGUGAUCAGUCAAUGACAAAUGAUGUUCUCCGACCAGAAAAGGACAUUCAGCUCGAUGUUCCUCCCCCGACAGCAGAGCAGGACCAGUCAGAGGACAUAAAGACACCAGAGGAGGACCAGCCAGAGGAUGUAAAGACACCAGAGGAGGACCAGCCAGAGGACGUUAAGGUCAAUCAAGACAGUGCUAGUGAUCCUCAAGAGGACAAUGUAGCAAAAGUGAAAAGUGACUUGGAUGUAAAACAAGUGGAAUGGGAUGCAAACAUAUUUGCUAUACCUAAGGCACUGCUAACAAAUAAUGCAAGACAAAAAAGGUCUUGUGAGUCAAACAAAUCAGAUGACGUCUAUGACUGUGUGGAUAUGUAUAUUAUUCCAAAAAAUGACUUUCCAUUAAUGAAAAGAAAGGCAUCAGAUGCUCUGUUGGACUUUUCAGCAGUCAAGGUGGGGAACACUUUUGUACAUUUUUUUUUACAGUGAAAAUAACUGGAAUUUUAUGUUAAUAUUUGAGAGACAAUUUAUUUUUUUAUUUUAUUUGAACUUAAUAAGUUGAAUAAAUGGCAAAAAAAUCUCUCUCUCAGUCAUUUGAACUGCUGGACAACUCUGCCCUCAAGAGUCGAAUUCGUCUUAGCAAAAAGAGACACCACCGAUCACCUAAAAAGCACAAAAAAGGUGAGAAGAAGCUGAGGAGGGUUGGUAUGAAUUUACUGAAUGAAAGCAAUAAGCAUGACAUUUAUUUCACACUUUUUCUCUUCCAGUAAAAACAGAGAUGUUGAGCGGCAUAUUCUACAAGAUUCCCAUGGUAAUACUGAAUGAAUCUCCUGUCAGCACAUCUCCACCAUGUCACAGCAUUCCCUUUUCCAUGUCUCCUCCUUUGCAUUUACCAUCACGUCCAUACCACUCCUGACCAUACCAGAUCUAUCAUCUGCAUUUGUCAGGUCAGUAAAGUCACAGAAGCAGUCAAACGCAAAGUAAAGCACAAACCAAGAAAGACAAUAUUGCAUAAAAUCUAUUUCGUUGUUCAUGUGAUCAUUUUAUUAAUAGUCUUCCUAGUUUUAUACUUCCUAGGCAGAUUAAAAGAUACCUUUACUGUAAAGACUGAAAAUUUACUGGUGUGCAAAAGAUGGGAGACAUUACAGUGGAUAAUCCAUUUGCAAGAAAGAACCUUUUUCACAUAAUUAUUUUCUUAAUAAUUUGCAAAAAGUCAUUAAUGUAAUGAUUUGCUACGUCAAUAUACAUGUUUUUAAGUUAAUAAUACACCUGUUCAUUCACCACUGCUGAUGAACUGUAAAGUACAGUAAAUCAUCAGUCUUUCUCCACAGUCCUUAUUAUGCAAUUAUGCAAAAUACCAUGUAAUAUUAUCAUGUAAUGUCAUGUGUAUGUCUUUUGCUGUCUUUAGAUUCCACUAAUGAAUUGUAAUGAGUUGUAAAUCACCUGCAAGAAAGAACCUUUUUCACAUAAUUAUUUUCUUAAUAAUUUGCAAAAAGUCAUUAAUGUAAUGAUUUGCUACGUCAAUAUACAUGUUUUUAAGUUAAUAAUACACCUGUUCAUUCACCACUGCUGAUGAACUGUAAAGUACAGUAAAUCAUCAGUCUUUCUCCACAGUCCUUAUUAUGCAAUUAUGCAAAAUACCAUGUAAUAUUAUCAUGUAAUGUCAUGUGUAUGUCUUUUGCUGUCUUUAGAUUCCACUAAUGAAUUGUAAUGAGUUGUAAAUCACCAUUCAUUUAAUUUCUGACUUCAAAGUGUUAUCUGAAUUUUUUUAGUGUGUGGUAUUACAAAUUUAUGAAAUGUUAAAUCUAGUUUCCAAUAUAAUAGUAUAUAAACUGAAAAAGUUAUGUACAUUGUGUUUUACAUUUUGAGGUAAAAAGGCUGACAUAUCCAAGAAGAUCAAAUCAGGAAAAUCAGGUGUUUGAGAUAAUGACCUUUUGUCUUUAUGCUCUUCCUGACCAUCUGGCUUUUUAAGCUCAAGGCACAGCUGUGCCUUUGUCUCUAUGAUAAUGUGAAGGUAUGAGCGAUACUGUCAGGCACCUCUGUAUUUGAAUGACACUGUUAUGCUGAUGAGAUCAAAGCUGGGAAAAUGCCAGUGUGGGGCUGAUCCCUGUACUGCAUUUGCAUGCUUUGUUUAGAUUGUCUCCACCUCUAUGUAUCCUUCCCCUAGAAAUGUAUAUAAACUACAAAUGUAUCAAUGACUAGUUAGACUUUAGAUGACUGCAGCGCCACACAGUGCAUUCUCAAUAAAGAGUCCUGCUGAAGAUUACCCAAGAGUCUCCUGGUCUUCCCUACUGAGUUUCCAACAGUUUUGUUGCCGUGACCCGGAUAGAGCGUUUAUUAUCUCACAUCAUUCCAGACUGAAUUCCAGAUCCUUUUUCAGCUCAACAACGAUUUGGUGAGUGUUACUCUAUCCAAAGAACUACUACAGACCAGUUAAUGUGGUUAUCCUCUGGGCUGUCAGAGAAGUGUAAACAAACAGCUGCAGGGUUUGGUUAACAGACUAGUUAUCCUCUGCUUUGCCAGGGCAGAAGGUUAAUCCUCUGUUUAGUCAGAGAAGACAACUAUUACAGUGUGUUGGCAAGUUGGUUAUCCUCUGCGUUGCCAGGGAAGGUUGAACACAUUAUGAUGUGUAUUAACUAGCGUAUCCUCUGCUUUGUCAGAGAGGUUAUUGAUGUGUCCUCUGCUUUGCCAGAGAAAGUUAACAGGUUUUAUAUGUUAACAAGUGUAUCCUCUGCUUGCAAGGGAAGUGUUAGAAGUGUCAUGUUGUGUCAGAAAGACUUUAUAAAAUGUUGAGAAGGAAUGCUAAGCUGAUUCCAACAACUAAAAAAAGGUGGACUAGCUA
rnacentral:lncRNA from 1 species